rnacentral:tRNA from 1 species
GCCUACGUAGCUCAGUUGGUAGAGCAAUCGCCUUGUAAGCGAUCGGUCGUCGGUUCGAGUCCGACCGUAGGCUCCA